rnacentral:rRNA from 1 species
CUACGGGAGGCAGCAGUGAGGAAUAUUGGUCAAUGGACGCAAGUCUGAACCAGCCAUGCCGCGUGAAGGAUGAAGGCCUUCUGGGUUGUAAACUUCUUUUAUCUGGGAAGAAAAGCCUGUUUUCUAACGGGUCCGACGGUACCAGAGGAAUAAGCACCGGCUAACUCCGUGCCAGCAGCCGCGGUAAUACGGAGGGUGCAAGCGUUAUCCGGAUUUACUGGGUUUAAAGGGUGUGUAGGCGGGCUUUUAAGUCAGUGGUGAAAUCUCCGGGCUCAACCCGGAAACUGCCAUUGAUACUAUUAGUCUUGAAUUUUGUUGAGGUAGGCGGAAUAAGUCAUGUAGCGGUGAAAUGCUUAGAUAUGACUUAGAACACCAAUUGCGAAGGCAGCUUGCUAAACAAAUAUUGACGCUGAGGCACGAAAGCGUGGGGAUCAAACAGGAUUAGAUACCCUGGU